rnacentral:lncRNA from 1 species
GGACAGAGAAAGCAACGGACACCAAACCAUUCGUGCGUUGCUUCUGCUGCUACUUCGUCAACCGGGAACAGCCACAGCAACAACCUUCUCCCUCGUUUCCCGUCGUCAAUACCACCCCAAACAACGACCAUGACUGCCUGAAACCGGUGACCACCCUCGUCCCUCCACGCUAAUCCACCACAGUCCGUUCGACCUCCAAUAGUUCAAAUCCGAGUUUCGACUUGGGUUCGUUCAAGUUUCAGAUUUUUUUUUAAGAUUAUUUAGUUCCUUUGGUCUACUUUUCUGUUAUGGUUUUUGGUUCUAAGUGUUGUUUGUAAUCUUGUUUUGUUCAUUUUAUUUUUCGGAUUAUUGAUUCUUUGUUUAAAGUGUUAUUUUAUAAUUUUGUCUUGUUCAUUAGCUCUCCUUCUUCUUCAAGACCUUUUAUUUGGUCAAGGUUUUUCUUCUGUUUGUUUGAGUGUGCGUUAUAAGCUACAUUCGAUUUGAACAACUUCGUCGAAUAGUUAGUUUAUGACUGCUUUGUUUGGACGAAUACAACAUGAAUCACUUCGUUGGUCUGUUUUGAUACUUGAAUCAUUUGUGUGAAUUUGACUAAAGGAUUGGUUGUAGCUGUGUAGUGAUUUGGUGUAGUUGUAAAUCAAAGAGGUUUAAAUACAGAUUGCUAAGAGUGAGGUCAAGGCAAUAAUAAUAGGGGAUUUUCAGGGGUAUUUUUGGGUGUUAAAAGAUUUAAAAUGUUUUGUGUUAGUAGUCUGCCAGUUGAAUAUUCAGUGUAUAAUUAAAAUUAAUGAAUUAUUUAAUGAAAAGGGAAUUAGUAGUGCAGAAUACACCCUGUCUGGUAUCUUUAAAGGUGGAAAAAUCAGAAAAUAAGCAUGGGAUUAAUGAUAAAAGUGUAUAGAUGCACAUGGGAGGGAAUAUACAGGCUGAAACUGAAAAACUUUGAAUAAAUAAUGUUUAGUUCUAGCCUAUAAAUAGGAGGAGUUGAUAUAGAGAUAGAGGACGGAAAAUUUAGAGAAGAAAAUUUUUUCAGAACUUCAAAGUGAGAAAUAAGCUAAUUUUUCAUAAUUAAAAGUCAGUCUUUGAGAGCUAAAAAUUGAAAGUGAGGUCCUUUUCUUUACUACUGAAAUCAGAACUUUGUUACUGCUUUCUGUGGAUUGCGUUUAGUGCUACUGAAUUUUUCAGUCAGGCUUUCCGGGGUUUUUCAUUUUGGUUCUGACCAUUGUUACACUGGUUAUUGCUGGGUUUUGUUGCUGUUAUUUGAUGUGGGAUUCUGUUGCUGAAUAUGUUGUUGCUGUGUUAUUACUGCUGCUGACACCUCCUUCUUUUGUUCUUGUACUGCCAUUUCCAGGUACACAUUUGUAUACUCUCGGCUUGAAGAGAAAUGAAAUAUUAAUCAGGCUUUGUUCCUGUUGAAUUCCUCCUGUU